UUGCUCCACCGGAAAAAGAAGAGUGGCGAACGGGUGAGUAACACGUGGGUAACCUGCCCAUCAGAAGGGGAUAACACUUGGAAACAGGUGCUAAUACCGUAUAACAAUCGAAACCGCAUGGUUUUGAUUUGAAAGGCGCUUUCGGGUGUCGCUGAUGGAUGGACCCGCGGUGCAUUAGCUAGUUGGUGAGGUAACGGCUCACCAAGGCUACGAUGCAUAGCCGACCUGAGAGGGUGAUCGGCCACAUUGGGACUGAGACACGGCCCAAACUCCUACGGGAGGCAGCAGUAGGGAAUCUUCGGCAAUGGACGAAAGUCUGACCGAGCAACGCCGCGUGAGUGAAGAAGGUUUUCGGAUCGUAAAACUCUGUUGUUAGAGAAGAACAAGGAUGAGAGUAACUGUUCAUCCCUUGACGGUAUCUAACCAGAAAGCCACGGCUAACUACGUGCCAGCAGCCGCGGUAAUACGUAGGUGGCAAGCGUUGUCCGGAUUUAUUGGGCGUAAAGCGAGCGCAGGCGGUUUCUUAAGUCUGAUGUGAAAGCCCCCGGCUCAACCGGGGAGGGUCAUUGGAAACUGGGAGACUUGAGUGCAGAAGAGGAGAGUGGAAUUCCAUGUGUAGCGGUGAAAUGCGUAGAUAUAUGGAGGAACACCAGUGGCGAAGGCGGCUCUCUGGUCUGUAACUGACGCUGAGGCUCGAAAGCGUGGGGAGCAAACAGGAUUAGAUACCCUGGUAGUCCACGCCGUAAACGAUGAGUGCUAAGUGUUGGAGGGUUUCCGCCCUUCAGUGCUGCAGCUAACGCAUUAAGCACUCCGCCUGGGGAGUACGACCGCAAGGUUGAAACUCAAAGGAAUUGACGGGGGCCCGCACAAGCGGUGGAGCAUGUGGUUUAAUUCGAAGCAACGCGAAGAACCUUACCAGGUCUUGACAUCCUUUGACCACUCUAGAGAUAGAGCUUCCCCUUCGGGGGCAAAGUGACAGGUGGUGCAUGGUUGUCGUCAGCUCGUGUCGUGAGAUGUUGGGUUAAGUCCCGCAACGAGCGCAACCCUUAUUGUUAGUUGCCAUCAUUCAGUUGGGCACUCUAGCAAGACUGCCGGUGACAAACCGGAGGAAGGUGGGGAUGACGUCAAAUCAUCAUGCCCCUUAUGACCUGGGCUACACACGUGCUACAAUGGGAACUACAACGAGUCGCGAAGUCGCGAGGCUAAGCUAAUCUCUUAAAGCUUCUCUCAGUUCGGAUUGUAGGCUGCAACUCGCCUACAUGAAGCCGGAAUCGCUAGUAAUCGCGGAUCAGCACGCCGCGGUGAAUACGUUCCCGGGCCUUGUACACACCGCCCGUCACACCGCGAGAGUUUGUAACACCCGAAGUCGGUGAGGUAACCUUUUGGA
rnacentral:rRNA from 1 species